ensembl:lincRNA uncharacterized LOC106149897
CUCUGAGGAACACCAGGGCCCAAGAGAUAGAAGAGAGGAAUCUUACCAGCAUCACCCUGUAGCCAAGGGCAACAGGGUAACCACAGUGACUGCUACGGAAGAGCCUGGAGGAGCUGCCUGUGCAACAGGUACCACCCUGAAUCUCACAGGUCUCUAGGGAUGGAGAGGACUCCUCCAACACUGCUCAGACAGGGCUUCUUGCCGCUCUGGUGAGGGACUCUCAGAGCGACACUGAAUUUGAAUGAAUUAAUAGCCACUCUGGAGCACAACACACUGUGGCUACAUCCAUCUGUGCUCCGGACAUGUAGGAAAUGAUCCAAACUUCUCUGUCAUAAUUGCUGCAGAUACUCUCCCCGGUUGGUGGCUUGUUUUUCAGUGUUAUUUGUGCUGGAAGAAGUCUGACACAGGCUUAGAAAGCCCUCCUCCUCCAGAAGCCUGAAAAGGAUUCUAUUUCGUUUUACUUUUGCUACAGCAUGAGACUGAACAAGUUGCUUCUCCAAUACAUUGGUAAUUUCUUUUGGUGCAUAGAAAUGAGACACACGAUGUUUUUUCCUGGCUUAUUCCUUCGUACCUGGGUUAACUCAGAUCCAUUACUAUUUUGUCCAUCUGACUUAGUAAUCCACUACCUCAACAGCCUCCUCAGCUGCUAACCUCCACCUGAAGUCAUCCAAAUUCAGCCCUCAUCUCCCACACAACUGAGGUUCAGGUGCUGCAAAGCUUGACUUUCCUUCUAUGCUUAUAUGAUUGUGCUGCUUUAGUUUGGAUGCAGUUUAGACCCAAUCAGAGAGCACAGAAUUUGGUGAGGGAGAGCUACUUUCAAUGCCAAAUGGAGACAGAACAUAAAUCAAAAAGUUAUCAUCGAAAGGUUUCUGUGGAUGCUGGAGAAAGACCAAACCUAAAGGUGACCUGCGGAGUUUGACUGGGAGUAGAAGAUAAAAAUUACUUUGUUUAAUUUUCAAAGUUCACUGGUUUAGGAGAAAAGCAUGUUAAAAGGGUACUGUGGAAUGCAUUAAAA